CAGCCGCGGUAAUACAGAGGGUGCGAGCGUUAAUCGGAUUUACUGGGCGUAAAGCGCGCGUAGGUGGUUAAUUAAGUCAAAUGUGAAAUCCCCGAGCUUAACUUGGGAAUUGCAUUCGAUACUGGUUAGCUAGAGUAUGGGAGAGGAUGGUAGAACUCCAGGUGUAGCGGUGAAAUGCGUAGAGAUCUGGAGGAAUACCGAUGGCGAAGGCAGCCAUCUGGCCUAAUACUGACACUGAGGUGCGAAAGCAUGGGGAGCAAACAGGAUUAGAUACCCUGGUAGUCAAUGCCGUAAACGAUGUCUACUAGCCGUUGGGGGAUUUGAUCCUUUAGUGGCGCAGCUAACGCGAUAAGUAGACCGCCUGGGGAGUACGGUCGCAAGACUAAAACUCAAAUGAAUUGGCGGGGGCCCGCACAAGCGGUGGAGCAUGUGGUUUAAUUCGAUGCAACGCGAAGAACCUUACCUGGCCUUGACAUAGUAGAGACUUUCCAGAGAUGGAUUGGUGCCUUCGGGAAUCUACAUACAGGUGCUGCAUGGCUGUCGUCAGCUCGUGUCGUGAGAUGUUGGGUUAAGUCCCGCAACGAGCGCAACCCUUUUCCUUACUUGCCAGCAUUUCGGAUGGGAACUUUGAGGAUACUGCCAGUGACAAACUGGAGGAAGGCGGGGACGACGUCAAGUCAUCAUGGCCCUUACGGCCAGGGCUACACACGUGCUACAAUGGUCGGUACAAAGGGUUGCUACACAGCGAUGUGAUGCUAAUCUCAAAAAGCCGAUCGUAGUCCGGAUCGCAGUCUGCAACUCGACUGCGUGAAGUCGGAAUCGCUAGUAAUCGCGGAUCAGAAUGCCGCGGUGAAUACGUUCCCGGGCCUUGUACACACCGCCCGU
rnacentral:rRNA from 1 species